AUUGAACGCUGGCGGCAGGCCUAACACAUGCAAGUCGAACGGUAACAGGAAGAAGCUUGCUUCUUUGCUGACGAGUGGCGGACGGGUGAGUAAUGUCUGGGAACCUGCUAGAUGGCGGGGGUUAACUACUGGAAACGGUAGCAAAUACCGCAUAACGUCGCAAGCCCAAAGAGGGGGACCUUCGGGCCUCUUGCCAUCGGAUGUGACCAGGUGGGAUUCGCUAGUAGGUGGGGUAACGGCUCACCUAGGCGACGAUCCCUAGCUGGUCUGAGAGGAUGACCAGCCACACUGGAACUGAGACACGGUCCAGACUCCUACGGGAGGCAGCAGUAGGGAAUAUUGCGCAAUGGGCGCAAGCCUGAUGCAGCCAUGCCGCGUGUAUGAAGAAGGCCUUCGGGUUGUAAAGUACUUUCAGCGGGGAGGAAGGGAGUAAUGUUAAUACCUGUGCUCAUUGACGUUACCCGCAGAAGAAGCACCGGCUAACUCCGUG
rnacentral:rRNA from 1 species